GCCUGGGUGGCUCAGUCGGUUGAGCAUCCGACUUUGGCUCAGGUCACGAUCUCACAGUUUGUGGGUUCAAGCCCCGCAUCAGGCU
rnacentral:tRNA from 1 species